CUUUCAACAACGGAUCUCUUGGUUCUGGCAUCGAUGAAGAACGCAGCGAAAUGCGAUAAGUAAUGUGAAUUGCGGAAUUCAGUGAAUCAUCGAAUCUUUGAACGCACAUUGCGCCCCCUGGCCAUUCCGGGGGGCAUGCCUGUUCGAGCGUC
rnacentral:rRNA from 1 species